AGAAAAGUUCUUAUAAAAUUUGGGAAAAACUUCAAAUGUCAUUUCUGUGGUUUUACACUUUCUCACUUUAGUGCCCUGCCGUUUGUUUAAAGUGUAUCAAUUUAGUGCCCUGUGGUUUUCUUUUUAUUUUUUUGUUAUCGAUUCCACUAAUUCUUUUCGUUAAAUUAUUGGUUUAAACUAAAAAAGGGAAUUAAAGUGAAUAUUCGAUAAAUCUAGAUGGAGGUAUCUGAAGUUUUUUAUAUAUAAUUUAACGAAAUAUUAACAAAAAAGUUGACAAAAAGAUAAAAAUAAAACCACAUGAUACUAACUUGAUACACUUUAAAUCACAGAGUACUAAAGUAAAAAAAUACGAAGCCAGGGGGGUGGUAUUUGAAGUUUUUUCAUAAAAUUUUUCUUACCAAUUUCCAACAAUGGGGAGCUUCUAGAUUCAACCUAACUCCCUACAGCUUGUAGGAAAAAGAUGUCACUGCUUUCACCACCCAAAUAGUACUCACAUGCUUUUGUUGAAGACUUUUUUUUUUUCUUUUUCCUUUUUUUCCCAAUAAUCUCAUGUUGGUAAAUAUUUUUGUAUAAUUAAUAAUUAGAAGUUUGAGUUUUACUCCUUUCGGAGAUAUUAGUAUCUAUAAAUCUACAAAAUACUAUAAAUCCUUAAGAUUUUAAUCCACGUGGCGAAACCUCAACAAUUUGAGCUAUGGUGGUGGGUUCAUCUCUCUUUUUUCUAUUGGCUGGUGAUGAGCUCACACAAUGAAUGCUUACCCAUUUCUUUAUAGGCUUUGCAUUUUUCUUUCAUUUCUUUAUUGUCUGAACCCUCAUGUCUAGACUUUCCACCUUCCUUCCAUCUCUUUGCUUGAGUUCUCAUGUUGAUACAUCGUCCCUAAUGCUUGCUCACAUCUUUUCGUCUUUCGUGUCCUCGCAUCGAUACAUUAUUUCUAAAUCCUUGGCUGCCUUAUUUUUCUCAUAUUAAAUUCUCCUUUUUCGUUUUCCCCCACUACCCCACCUUCGCCGCAAUAGUUUUCCAUAUUGACAGCAAUGACGGCGAAGGCUCCUUUCGUUGCAUCCUCCGAUCUCUCCCUCUCCCUGUUGCCUAAAUCCUAAAUCCUAAAUUUUUUCCUUUUUUCGUUUCUUACGUUGUUUUAUGUUAGAUUGUAAUUCCAUUCUAUUUUACUAAAAUAUUCGUAUCAGCCGUAUCGCGCGGGCCUCUUUUCCUUU
rnacentral:lncRNA from 1 species